GAGCCAGGGAGGAUCCUGGGGCCCUAUGGCCAGACAGCCCAGCUGCAAACUAAGCUUUAGGUAGUGAUUUCAAUUGAGGAAGAAAUCCUGAUGUCAACUUCCGGCCUCUGCAAGUACCUGUACCCUUACGUACAGCAGUAUGAAAAGGAAGCUGAGAGUGGUGUGCAAGAUCCGAGUUUUAAUACACAGGGAAAGAAGGACAGGAGAAGUCAGUCCUCUGCAGCCAAGAGGGUUCUCACCAGAACCCAUCAGUACUGGUGCCUGGGCACUUCAUGUCUAACCUCCAGAUCUAUGAGAAAUGAAAUGGUUUUUGCUUACAUGCCACUCAGUUUAUGGAACUGCCUUACCGUGGCCAGAACA